CGAAAGCGAACCAGCACAGCAAAGCGUGCGUUCUCGUUUGCGUGGGUGGAGCGUGAGCUGUGCUUGGGAAGAGCUUUAGCUCUGAGCUAGGUGGGCAUUGCUUAGGAGAUGGCCGGCUCCGCUUGUGCAUAUACCGUGCGCUUUGGCCGGGAAUAUGAAGAUGAGAUAGAUGACUUUACUCUUCUUGAGGCAACCGGCCAUGCAUCGGCAACAAAGGAUGGGGCAGAGGAGGCCACUGCGGAAGCGCUUAUCUGUGCAGCAAAGCGUGAAUUCGGUGUCGUGGUCAUUGACUUGAAUUUCAGUGAGGUAAAAGCUCUCCGGAAGGAGAAUGAAACUCUUCGCCGGAACAACCUGCUGCUUAGUUCUGGUUGAGCUCAGUCGGUGGAUCAUUUGGAGAUGCUGCAGAAGACGUUGGAAUCAAUCACAAUCGACGCUCUUGCCGGUUGUCCAAAGAUUUCAGUUGGUCAGUUUGCUCAUGAUGCUGCUGUCUGGGCUGAGGAGAAUGUUUGGGGUGCGACUGCUGCGCGGCAAGAGGUCGGCUGCAGGUCCAUGGAUGAGAAUUGAGCUCCACGGUGUUUAGUCUCAAGUGUCUGUAGUUUGUGCAUUCGGCAAUGUUUUGUGUACCCAAAAAAACAGCUACCUGAGUUUAUCAGGCUCCGCAUUA